GCAGAAGGGUUUAGCGCAGGGGCCCCACCCGUUCCCAUCCCGAACACGGCCGUUAAGCCCUGCAGCGCCGAUGGUACUGCCCUCCGGGCGGAAGCGUAGGUCCCCUCCUGCU
rnacentral:rRNA from 1 species